UACAGAGGGUGCGAGCGUUAAUCGGAAUUACUGGGCGUAAAGCGCACGUAGUCGGCUUUGCAAGUCGGUUGUGAAAUCCCCGGGCUCAACCUGGGAACUGCAUCCGGGACUGCAUUGCUAGAGUAUGGGAGAGGGAAGCGGAAUUUCUGGUGUAGCAGUGAAAUGCGUAGAUAUCAGAAGGAACAUCAGUGGCGAAGGCGGCUUCCUGGACCAAUACUGACGAUCAGGUGCGAAAGCGUGGGGAGCAAACAGG
rnacentral:rRNA from 1 species